AAUAGAUACCCGGGUAGUCCACGCCGUAAACGGUGGGCGCUAGGUGUGGGGGACUUUCCACGUCCUCUGUGCCGCAGCUAACGCAUUAAGCGCCCCGCCUGGGGAGUACGGCCGCAAGGCUAAAACUCAAAGGAAUUGACGGGGGCCCGCACAAGCGGCGGAGCAUGUGGCUUAAUUCGACGCAACGCGAAGAACCUUACCAAGGCUUGACAUGCAGAGAAAUCUCGUAGAGAUACGGGGUCCGCAAGGGCUUUGCACAGGUGGUGCAUGGUUGUCGUCAGCUCGUGUCGUGAGAUGUUGGGUUAAGUCCCGCAACGAGCGCAACCCUUGUCCUAUGUUGCCAGCGAGUAAUGUCGGGGACUCAUAGGAGACUGCCGGGGUCAACUCGGGAGGAAGGUGGGGAUGACGUCAAAUCAUCAUGCCCCUUAUGUCUUGGGCUGCACACAUGCUACAAUGGUCGGUACAAAGGGCUGCGAGACCGCAAGGUGGAGCGAAUCCCAAAAAAGCCGACCUCAGUUCGGAUUAGGGU
rnacentral:rRNA from 1 species